GCUAGGAAAGGUGGUGCAUGCCUGCAAUCCCAGUGGCUCUGGAGGCUGAGGCAGGAGGAUCACAAGUUCAAAGCCAGUUUCAGCAAAAGUGAGGUGCUAAGCAAUUCAGUGAGACCCUGUCUCUA
rnacentral:sRNA from 1 species